AAAUAACUUAUACACUGUGAAUGUGUUUGGUGCUGCUUUUUCUUUGGUGCUGCGCGUGGGUGUGUGUGUGUAUUCCCAGAAGAGAAACAAGGAGGAGUGGAUGAGUAUUGCCAGGCACGCCAGUUCAAAGUUACUUCUUAAACAAGGAUUUUUUAAGUAGACAAAUAUUAACCAUGGCCCACCAGAGAUGAGAAAGCUUCUCCAUCUAGGGACAAUGAGGCCUGGUCAGGAAAGUAGAUGACCUGGUUCUGAUCCUGCCAAUGUCUGCUGUGUUUCUCAACGCUGGAACUGGAAAUGAAGAGCUCAAGUAUACAAAGAUGAUUGCCAAAGGCACGAAAGGAUUGCAGAAGGCAGUGAGAAAAAGGUACCGAGGUGAAACUGGAGGUGACUGAACAUGCAUUAAGACUGCUUUGGAGGACAGUGGCUUGGGCUGGUCCUCCCUUUAUUGCUAAAGAAAGACUCCUGUUAAAUUUCAGAGACAUUUAACCUGAAUUAUGGCAACAGAACAUUACUGACACAGAAGCUGAAAUUACAUCCCAACUCAGUACGUAAAAAAGCUGUAAUGUAAUGUUGAAUGAAUUUAGUGACUACUGAAAGAAACACUUUUUAAAAUCCUCCGUUUCUAUUUAAAGACUUUUUUUACUGAAAAGGCAGUCCUAAAAGGAUGAACAUCUGUUGCAUAGCAUGAUUUGUUUGUUUGUUUAUAUUAAGAAGUAUCUGUAAGCAGUGCAAAAUGGGGAGAGGGUAUACUCCAUGUCAGUUUAUCUACCAUGCGUCACACUGGGGUAAAUACCAGCUGGUACACGAGAAAGGCCCAGGCAAAUGUAAGCCAACAGAAGUAAGUAUGGACAGCUUGAGGAGCAGUCUGAGAAAACAAAUGGAGUUAGCAGCAGCCACAGCUCCCCACUUUCCUAGUAGCAUUUGUUGGUUAGAAUGUCAUUAGUCCAUCUUGGCAAGAGGUGCUUGAGUUGGUUGCUAGAAGGCAGUCCUGCUCUGCCCUUACAGUAAGCCACAAAGAAAAUAGUAUCAUGGGCCUUUCAUCUUUCAAACUGCUGCUCCUGCCUUACUUUACUUGUGUGAGCAGUCCUGAUGAGUUGAUGGGGACAAUUAGACAUGUUUGAGUAGUGUCAGAGGCUUUACAAUUAUACCUGAAUUUCAAACCAGUAACUGAUAGGUUGUACAAGUCCUUUUACUUAAUUUUAUCAUAUCAUAGAAUCAUAGAAUGUUCUGGUUUGAAAAGGACCUCAAAGAUCAUCUAGUUUCAACCCCCCUGCUAUGUUCAGGGUUGCCAACCACCAGCCCAGGCUGCCCAGAGCCACAUCCAGCCUGGCCUUGAAUGCCUCCAGGGAUGGGGCGUUCACAACCUCCUUGGGCAACCUGUUCCAAUGUGUCACCACCCUCUGUGUGAAAAACUCCUUCCUAAUAUCUAACUUAAACCUCCCCUGUCUUAGUUUAAAACCAUUCCCCCUUGUCCUAUCACUAUCCACCCUCGUAAACAGUCGUAAUUUUAUGUGGCUCGUGACAGAACACUGUGUUGGUAGCAAGGUACUGUACUGUGGCUGUGAGUCCUAAAAAUCUGUCACCAGCUCUGUUGUCAUCCCUCCACAACUCCAGGGAAAUCCUUGAGCUCUAUUUCUUAACAGCAUGAUAAAUGAUGCAUGUUAAAAACCAAAAUUAUCUUUCUCCUUUCUAUCUGUCCCCUCAAGUUCUGGCCAAAGCUUUAGGCCAGUUCAGCUCUCUCGUAUUCUGCAACAGUGAUAGGCAGAAGAGCUGGUAGGACUUGUGACCUUUUAAUUUUAGAGUGCUAUGUUUUAGCUAAGAGCAAGAGCGGAACACUGGAUUUUUUGUUCCAACCUCCUAAGGUUCAAACAGUAAUGUGUGAACGUGGUACUGUUUAAUAUAGUUCAUAUUAUAGAGGCUGAGCUGUCAGGCAGCGCGUUGUGAAGUCUUCCAGAGAGACCUGCUCCCUCUGGGAACAAGAUGACCUGCAUCACAAUGACAAUUUGGGGCUGUUCCACAUUUACUGCCAGCACCUGCUCCUGACUGGCCCCAGUGAGUGGGCCUCCCAGAGGACACACUGCACGUGUUGAGUGUUGCUCAAUCAUCUCUGCUGCUGGUUGACAGUACGGUAAUGUAAUAAACAUUGAAAACAGAAC
rnacentral:lncRNA from 7 species